CUGAGUCAGUGUCCACACAUUUGCAUGGGAAGCUUAAUUGUGUGUGAAAUAAUUUAGUUUGGAUUUGGGCACAUAAGCAGGAGAGUAAAACGGAGCAAGACUGAAGCAGGCAGCCUGAUGGCAAGAAUUUCUUUAACUGCACUUAACCAGUGUGCAAUUCGGACCAAGCUUACAACCGGAUGCCAUUUUUAUUUCCUAUUGAAAGUCUAACCUAUGUCUUCUGAUAAUGCAGCCAAAUGUAAUCCUCAGGAAGAAAUGGAUGAUGUAGACUCCCUUCCAAUAUCUGCAUACUAAUAAAUGGGACCUCCAUCGUGCUUGUGCAAACAAACUGAAAACAGCUUUCAAACUUAUUGAACAGAGCCAGACACAACAAAAAGGCUAACAGCAUAUAGUGGUAAAACUAUAAAUAGUGGAAUCUGCAUUUUUUUAUAUAAAAGUGAAACUCAAAGGCUUGGAUUUGGUGGUGGUAAAGAGAGUACAUUGUGAGGCACACCCAGACUGCAAUCAAUGGAAAUCAACUGAGUGCACAAGGAUUGCCACUCUUAAGGCAGAAUCAUCUCAAAUUUGCACUAAGUGCAGUAGUGGGUGUGAAAAAAGACAUUUUACCCAUGUCAUGAAGCUAUGAAUGUAUAUAAUAUUAUUGAAAAAUGUUUUUCUUUUAAAAUAGAGAUUUAGUCUG